UUACUUAUGGUAGUGGUAUUGUAUGUUUCCAUGCUCCUCUCUCCAUUCGUCCUGCCCUCUCCUUCUUACCCCAUCCCCAUGUCCAUCAGUCUGUUCUCUAUGUCUGCAUGCCCAUUGCUGCCCUGCAAAUAGGUUCAUCGGUACCAUCUUUCUAGAUUCC